rnacentral:rRNA from 1 species
CCUACGGGUGGCAGCAGUGAGGAAUAUUGGUCAAUGGACGAGAGUCUGAACCAGCCAAGUAGCGUGAAGGAUGACUGCCCUAUGGGUUGUAAACUUCUUUUAUAUGGGAAUAAAAUGUUCCACGUGUGGGAUUUUGUAUGUACCAUAUGAAUAAGGAUCGGCUAACUCCGGUCCAGCAGCCGCGGUAAUACGGAGGAUCCGAGCGUUAUCCGGAUUUAUUGGGUUUAAAGGGAGCGUAGGUGGAUUGUUAAGUCAGUUGUGAAAGUUUGCGGCUCAACCGUAAAAUUGCAGUUGAAACUGGCAGUCUUGAGUACAGUAGAGGUGGGCGGAAUUCGUGGUGUAGCGGUGAAAUGCUUAGAUAUCACGAAGAACUCCGAUUGCGAAGGCAGUUCACUGGACUGCAACUGACACUGAGGCUCGAAAGUGUGGGUAUCAAACAGGAUUAGAUACCCCAGUAGUC